GACGAACGCUGGCGGCGUGCUUAACACAUGCAAGUCGAACGGAAAGGCCCUGCUUUUGUGGGGUGCUCGAGUGGCGAACGGGUGAGUAACACGUGAGUAACCUGCCCUUGACUUUGGGAUAACUUCAGGAGACUGGGGCUAAUACCGGAUAGGAGCUCCUGCUGCAUGGUGGGGGUUGGAAAGUUUCGGCGGUUGGGGAUGGACUCGCGGCUUAUCAGCUUGUUGGUGGGGUAGUGGCUUACCAAGGCUUUGACGGGUAGCCGGCCUGAGAGGGUGACCGGCCACAUUGGGACUGAGAUACGGCCCAGACUCCUACGGGAGGCAGCAGUGGGGAAUAUUGCACAAUGGGCGGAAGCCUGAUGCAGCAACGCCGCGUGCGGGAUGACGGCCUUCGGGUUGUAAACCGCUUUCGCCUGUGACGAAGCGUGAGUGACGGUAAUGGGUAAAGAAGCACCGGCUAACUACGUGC
rnacentral:rRNA from 1 species